CGCUGGCGGCAUGCCUAACACAUGCAAGUCGAACGAGACCGUUCGGGUCUAGUGGCGCACGGGUGCGUAACGCGUAGGGAAUCUCGCCCCUUGGUUACGGAAUAACAGUUAGAAAUGACUGCUAAUACCGGAUGAUGACGAAAGUCCAAAGAUUUAUCGCCGAGGGAUGAGCCCGCGUAGGAUUAGCUAGUUGGUGAGGUAAAGGCUCACCAAGGCGACGAUCCUUAGCUGGUCUGAGAGGAUGAUCAGCCACACUGGGACUGAGACACGGCCAGACUCCUACGGGAGGCAGCAGUGGGGAAUAUUGGACAAUGGGCGAAAGCCUGAUCCAGCAAUGCCGCGUGAGUGAUGAAGGCCUUAGGGUCGUAAAGCUCUUUUACCAGGGAUGAUAAUGACAGUACCUGGAGAAUAAGCUCCGGCUAACUCCGUG
rnacentral:rRNA from 1 species